GCCGAGGUGGCGGAAUUGGCAGACGCGCUAGGUUCAGGGUCUAGUGGGAGCAAUCCCGUGGGGGUUCGAGUCCCCCCCUCGGUA
rnacentral:tRNA from 1 species